rnacentral:rRNA from 1 species
GAUGAACGCUGGCGGCGUGCCUAAUACAUGCAAGUCGAGCGAACAGACGAGGAGCUUGCUCCUCUGACGUUAGCGGCGGACGGGUGAGUAACACGUGGAUAACCUACCUAUAAGACUGGGAUAACUUCGGGAAACCGGAGCUAGUAACGGAUAAUAUAUUGAACCGCAUGGUUCAAUAGUGAAAGACGGUUCUGCUGUCACUUAUAGAUGGAUCCGCGCCGCAUUAGCUAGUUGGUAAGGUAACGGCUUACCAAGGCAACGAUGCGUAGCCGACCUGAGAGGGUGAUCGGCCACACUGGAACUGAGACACGGUCCAGACUCCUACGGGAGGCAGCAGUAGGGAAUCUUCCGCAAUGGGCGAAAGCCUGACGGAGCAACGCCGCGUGAGUGAUGAAGGUCUUCGGAUCGUAAAACUCUGUUAUUAGGGAAGAACAAAUGUGUAAGUAACUAUGCACGUCUUGACGGUACCUAAUCAGAAAGCCACGGCUAACUACGUG